CGGGGGUAGGGCUGGUGGCCGCCAUGGUUGGCCACGGAAGAACAGUAACAGUUGUCCACAGAACAGACGAGAAUCUUGCGGCCGCCAUACUGGGGGAGCAUGGGCUGCUGGGCGGCGGAGCCAUUGGGAUACUGCGAUGGGGGGAACACGGGGCUUGAGUGCACUGGUUGGGCGCCGCCCGGCAGGGCCACCAAGUGCUGCGUGGAGCUGCAGGGCCCCAGGGGCUGCCCAGACUGGCCCUCACCGCUGGCUGUGCCCGCCGCCCCGUACUGGCCGCCCACAGGGCCCGACGACGUCUCUAGGAAACUGGCCUCUGGGAAGGCCGUUGAGUGCUUGCGCUUUUCCGCCCCAGAGCUGCUCACGCCGCAAGGGUACAGGGGGACACUCUGCAGGAAGGGCACCGGCGUGCUGAAGGGGCCUGUGGAGAGUUGGGGCAAAAGUCGCCAAAGCUCCCACCCCAAGCAACCCAGGCCUCCUCUCCCUGGGUUGGACCUGGGGACCAUUGACACCUAGAGGCCCAAGAAUGUUAUAUCUCAGAUGAUGCUUGCUCCUCUGCCACUAGGAGGUCCUCGUCCAGCAGCUGGUGCAGCUUCUCGUACUGCAGCCGAACUUCCUCCUUCAGUUGGUUCACUUUCUCCUGCGAGUACAGAGGGCAGGAGUGGGC
rnacentral:lncRNA from 1 species